rnacentral:rRNA from 1 species
GCCCGAUGUUUUGGUKAUUCAUGAUAACUCGACGGAUCGCACGGCCUUCGUGCCGG